rnacentral:rRNA from 1 species
CUUUACUGCAGCUUUGCAGUGGCAUUAGGAGAGUGCUGUGUAGGAUAGGUGGGAGGCUUUGAAACCGGGGCGCUAGCUUCGGCGGAGCCAACCUUGAAAUACCACCCUGAACUCUUCUGAUGUCUAACCGCGGCCGGUCAUCCCGGUCCGGGACCCUGCAUGGUGGGCAGUUUGACUGGGGCGGUCGCCUCCCAAAAUGUAACGGAGGCGCGCGAUGGUGGGCUCAGGCCGGUCGGACAUCGGCUGUUGAGUGCAAUGGCACAAGCCCGCCUGACUGCGAGAGUGACAGCUCGAGCAGAGACGAAAGUCGGCCAUAGUGAUCCGGUGGCUUCCACGUGGAAGGGCCAUCGCUCAACGGAUAAAAGGUA